GACGAACGCUGGCGGCGUGCCUAAUACAUGCAAGUAGAACGCUGAAGAGAGGAGCUUGCUCUUCUUGGAUGAGUUGCGAACGGGUGAGUAACGCGUGGGUAACCUGCCUUGUAGCGGGGGAUAACUAUUGGAAACGAUAGCUAAUACCGCAUAACAAUAGGUGACACAUGUCAUUUAUUUGAAAGGGGCAAUUGCUCCACUACAAGAUGGACCUGCGUUGUAUUAGCUAGUAGGUGAGGUAACGGCUCACCUAGGCGACGAUACAUAGCCGACCUGAGAGGGUGAUCGGCCACACUGGGACUGAGACACGGCCCAGACUCCUACGGGAGGCAGCAGUAGGGAAUCUUCGGCAAUGGGGGCAACCCUGACCGAGCAACGCCGCGUGAGUGAAGAAGGUGUUCGGAUCGUAAAGCUCUGUUGUAAGUCAAGAACGAGUGUGAGAGUGGAAAGUUCACACUGGGACGGUAGCUUACCAGAAAGGGACGGCUAACUACGU
rnacentral:rRNA from 1 species